GUCUCGAUAGCUAAGUGGUAUAGCAUGCGAUUGCAGUGAGAAUAUCAUUUAUCGCAGGGUCCGGUGUUCGAACCACCGUCGGGACU
rnacentral:tRNA from 1 species